GGAGCUGAUGGCACGAACUACAUUGUGUUGAGAGUGUCUGAUGUGAUGGCCGAGCUCUCUUAAGUGUGCGGUUUAUUACUUUGUUUCAGUUUUGAGUUCACGAUAGAGGCUAGCAUGAGUGGUAAGAUUGCUAUGUGAUAACCACUUGAUGCUGUUUCGGAUAAUUAUAGAAUUGUAUGAGCAAACCUGUUGUCCGGGUUAAAAACAUUUACCGAAUUUCUUUACAAAGAGAGCUUGAUGCUGGUUUCCCCCUACUUCUGCAUUAUGUAUGUACAUUACUGCUUGGCUGAUUGCCUAUUGUUGUGGCACUAUCUAUGUGAAAGGGUCCUAGACAUCUAUCUUCCUGUGAGUGGGCUAAACAUUAAGCAAACCUGGAGGAUGUGGCUUAUCAGAAUGAUUGCUCAUUCUUCAGUGUUGAAUCUAGGCUGCUGGUUGCUCAGGAUGGUAGGAGAAUUUGCUGUAUAGGACAAAGGGGUCAGUAGCAGGUGUUGUUUAGUGGAGAGAUGAGGCAAUCUGUGACCUUUCGUCUGCUGCGGAGUAAGAGCGCAGCAGAGGAUGAUGCGUCUGAGGGGAGUAAAGAUGUGCAGUCCCCGUGACCUUGCCGCCAAAGAGUGCAUGUUGUAAUUCCAGCUAUUCAUAGAUAGUUCCUGGUGCCUUGUAUGCCUAUGCUAUCAAAUUCAAAUCCCCAGUGAACAGAGAAGCAACAAAUAAGACACUAGAUGUGAUUCAAAUCCCUAUGGAGAACAGAGAAGCCUUACUCCUUAUAAAAGAAUUGUGUGGCAGACUUGUUCCUUAUAAAGAGUUGCACGGUAGACAGUGGCCUGAACUCACCGGUCCUCUGGUAGGUCAAUGGCUAACAACCCUUUGGUUAUGAACUGGGUCCUCUGGUUGGUCGGUUGCUGUGAGCUUUAUAAAUCUUUUAUAAACAAAAUAAUGAAUGUCCUUACCCUUUUCCUUUUCCAAAAGGAUUAAUUUUGUUAAUCUGCUAACCUCUACUUAAGAUGGCGCACCUAUUUAUUUAUUACAAAUUUCACAAAAAAUAUAUCCAACAUUCUAUCGUCAAAGAAAAAACACCAGAUCAAGUAGAACCAACAUCUCAUAGAAACAAUCAUGUGGCGAUCACAAUGAUGCUAAUCUAGGAGUCACAUGAAGUACCCACUUAAAUUUAGUGGACCGGCUAGUUUGCACCAGAGGUGAAUGUUAUGCUAAUACUUCAAAAUACCCCUUUUUUAUGUAGACCUGAUCUCAAGUUGUAUAUUCAAAGUAUGUUGUGACUGAAGUUGAAUACAACAACUCCAAGCAUCUCAUUAUGAAAGAGGAUGACAUCAUUGGUAUUCUUGAAUCUGAUGAUGUCAAAGACAUGAAGCCUCUCAAUGACUGAGUUCUAAUCAAGGUAUUUAUAUCGAAUGUCAUGUCACUAAUCAGUAGCGUAUAUUUAAAUAAUUUCCAGUCAAUCUUGUAUUGGUUGUAUCUGCAUAAUGGUUAACAGUCCUAUCUGUCUUACAUUUGUGCUAGGUUGCCGAGGUUUCAGAUAAGGCCGAAGCUGGCCUUAUCCUCACCGAGACAACCAAGGAAAAGCCAUCCAUUCGAACAGUAAGUUAUUGCCAUUGGUUAAGAGUCUGCACUUUUUUUUCGACAAAGAAGAGUCUGCACUUAACUGGUACUCCCUCCGUUCGGAAUUACUUGUCACAGAAAUGGAUGUAUCUAGAUGUAUUUUAGUUCUAGAUACAUCCAUUUCCGAGACAAGUAAUUCCGAACGGAGGGAGUAGGUGUUAAACUAAUUCACCUCUUAAUGCAGGUUGUAGCUGUUGGUCCGGGCUCUCUCGACGAGGAAGGCAAGAGGUAGCCAUUGUCGUUGUCACCAGGUAGCACCGUGUUGUACUCCAAGUAUGCAGGCGGUGAGUUCAAGGGAGCUGAUGGCACGAACUACAUUGUGUUGAAAGUGUCUUAUGUGAUGGCUGAGCUCUCUUAAGUAUGCGGUUUAUUACUUUGUUUUAGUUUUGAGUUCACGAUAGAGGCAAGCAUGAGUGGUAAGAUUGCUAUGUGAUAACCACUUGAUGCUGUUUCGGAUGAUUAUAGAAUUGUACUCCCUCCGUCCGAAAAUACUUGUCAUCAAAAUGAAUAGAAGGGGAUGUAUCUAGAUGUAUAUUAGUUCUAGAUACAUCCCUUUUUAUCCAUUUUGAUGACAAGUAUUUUCGGACGGAGGGAGUAUGAGCAAACCUGUUGUCUGGGUUAAAAACAUUUACUGAAUUUGUUUACAAAGGGAGCUUUAUGCCUGUUUUCUCGUGCUUGGCUGAUUGCCUAUUGUUGUGGCACUAUCUAUGUGAAAGGGCCUAGACAUCUAUCUACCUGUGAGUGGGCUAAACAAUAAGCAAAGCUGGAGGAUUUGCCUUAUCAGAAUGAUUGCUCAUUCUUCAAUGUUGCUUCUUCGAACCAUCUAGCGACUAUGCAACCUUAUUUCCCUACGUGAACCAAAUCUAGGCUGCUGGUUGCUCAGGAUGGUAGGAGAAUUUGCUGUAUAGGACAGAGAGGUCAUGUACAUCUGAUGUUUAGCGGAUAGAUGAGGCGAGAUGAGACCCUCUGUCAGCAGCAGAGGAAGAGGGUGAGCACCUUUCAAAGCAUUUGAGUAAGAGGAUGGUGCGAUUCAGCGGAGUAAGAUGUUGAGGCCCAACGGCCUUGCAACAAGUGAGUGCAUGUUGUAAUUCCAACUAUUCAUAGAUAAUUCCUGGUUCCUUCCAUGCCUAUGCUAUCAAAUCAAAUCCCUGGUGAACAGAGAAGCAACAAAUAAUACACCAAAUGUGAUUCAAAUCCCUAUGGAGAACAGAGAAGCCUUGCUCCUUAUGAAAGAGUUGUGUGGCAGACUUGUUCCUUAUAAAGAGUUGCGCGCUAGACAGCGGCGUGAAGUCAUCAGUCCUCUGGUAGGUCAAUGGCUCACAAUCCUUUGGUUAUGAACUAGGUCCUCUGGUUGGUCAGCCGCUGUGAGCUUUAUAAAUUCCUUUUAAAAAAAUGAUGAAUUUUCUCGAAAGUACUCUUUUGCUCUCGAGCUCAGAUGAGCUUGGAUGAACAGUAAAAUAAAUAAAAAAUCAAAGCAUUCCUAUUUGUGAAAGGUGCAACAAAAAAAAUCAAUGCUCUAAAAUGCUUUCUAAAGUACCAUUUUGGAUAAUGUAACAUCAACUGAUUCAGUUUCCUUUUUGUGGGUGAAGACUCAGUUAAUCCAGCGAAACUUCAAAGGGGUGGACUAAUGAGAUCUUUCUGUCUAUCUGCUCAAGGUGUAACCGGAACCUUGGGUGAGAUGGGGAUCAGGGAGGUGGCUGCGCUAUAGCCUCGAGACACCGGGCACUGAGCGUAAUUAAUUUUCUAUUGAGCGUAAAACCAAACAUAAUUUGAGGUAAUUUGUUACAAACUGACCAACCAAACACAUAUAUGUAUUCUUGAAUCUGAUGGUGUCAAAGACAUGAAGCCUCUCAAUGACUGGGUUCUCAUCAAGGUAUUUAUAUCGAUUGUCAUGUCACUAAUCAGUAGCUUAUAUUGAAGGGAUUUCCAGUCGAUCUUGUACUGGUUGCAUGUGUAUAACGAUUAACAAAGCUUAUCUGUCCUGCAUUUGUACUAGGUUGCUGAGGCUUUAGAUAAGAGUGCAGCUGGUCACCUAGAUAACCAAGGAGAAGACAUCCAUUGGAAUAGUAAAUUAUCACCAUUGUUAGAGUCUGUGCCAAACUAGUACUCCCUUUCGUAAACUAAUAUAAGAGCGUUUAGAUUAUUAUUUUAGUGAUCUAAACGCUCUUAUAUUAAUUACAGAGGGAGUAGGUGUUUAACCAGUUCGCCUCUUAAUGCAGGUCGUAGCUGUUGGUCCGUGCUCAAUCGACGAUGAAGGCAAGAGGCAGCCACUGUAGGUGUCACCAGGCAGCACUGUGAUGUACUCCAAGUAUGCAGGCGACGAGUUCAAGGGCACUGAUGGCACAAACUACAUUGUGUUGAGAGUGCAGAUGUGAUGGCCGAGCUCUCUUAAAUGUGCGGUUUGUUACUUUGUUUCAGUUUUGUGUUCAUAAUGGAGGCGAGCAUGAGGGUUGAGAUUGCUCUGUGGUAAUCGCUUGAUGCUAUUUCGGAUGGUUAUAGAAUUGUAUGAGCAAACCACUUGUCCGGGUUAAAAACAUUUACCGAAUAUGUUUACAAAGUUAGUUUGAUGCCUGUUUCCCCCUACUUAUACAUUAUGUAUGUACAUUAGUGCUUAGCUGAUUGCCGAUUGUUGUGGCAUUACUUCUGUGGAAGGUUCCUAGGCAUCUCUCUUCCAGUGAGCGAGCUAAAAAGUGAGAAAGCCUAGAGGAUCUGGUCUUUAGGCAAGUCUGAUUGCUCAUUCUUUAAUGUUGCUUCUUUAAAUUAUCUAGGGACCAAAUAUAUGCCGCUGGUUACUCAGGAUGGCAGGAGAAUUUGCCGUAUAGGACAGCGUCAUGAUGUUGAACUGAUGUUUAGCGGUGAGACGAGGCAAACUGGGACCUUUGGUCAGCAGCAGAGUAAUAAGACGCCGACCUUUUGAAGCAGAAGAGUAGGUGGAUGAUGGAGGUCAGCGGAGUAAGAUGUGGAGGUCGAGCACCAUUGCGACCAGCGAAUGCAUGUUGUAAUUCUAGCUACUCAUGGGUAAUUCCUGGUGCCUUCUAUGCCUAUGCUAUCAAAUUGAAAUCUCUAGUGAAUAGAGAAGCAACAAAUAAUACACUAAAUGUGAUUCAAAUACAUGAAAUGAGUUAUCCCUAAGGGGAGCUUUGCUCCUUAUAAAGGAGUUGUGUGGCAGACUUGCUCCUUGUAAAGAGUUGUGCCGUAGAUGGUGGUGUGAAGUCAUCAGUCCUCCGGUAGAUCAAUUGCUAAAAAUCCUUUGGUUAUGAAUUGGGUCCUCUGGUUGGUCAGCCGUUGCGAACUUUAUAUAGAUCUUUUAAACAAAACAAUCAACUUAUUUGCCUUUGUUUUUCAAAAGGAUUAAUUCUGUUAAGCUUGCAACCUCUACUUCAAGAUGACACACCUAGACAACAAAUUAUUUAUUACAAAGUUCGCAAAAAAUUUAGCCCAACAUCAAAAGAUAAAACACCUGCUUAAUUAGAACCAACAUCUCAUAGAGUGACACUAAUUUGGGAGUCAUGAAGGAUCCGUUUAAAAUUAUAAAAUUAAUGGAGCAGCUACUUUGCACUAAAGCUUAUGUUAGAGGUGAAUCCUAUGCUAAUACUUCAAAAUACCCAGCUUGGACAGACGUUGAAUACAACAACUCUAAGCAUCUCAUUAUGAAAGAGGAUGGGAUCGUAGGUCUUCUUGAAUCUGAUGAUGUCAAAGACAUGAAGCCUCUCAAUGACCGGGUGGUGAUCAAGGUAUUUAUAUCUAAUGUCGUGUAACUAAACUAUACUAGUGUAUAUUUCAAGAAUUUUCAGUCAAGCUUGUACUGGUCAUGCCUACCGGUUAACAAUGCUUAUCUAUCUUGCAUUUGUGCUAGGUUGCAGAGGCUUCGAACAAGACUGAAGCUGGUCUUAUCCUCACCGAGACAACCAAGGAGAAGCCAUCCAUUGCAACAGUAAGUUAAUUAUCAUUAGGUAGAAAUCCAUGUUGAACUAGCAGGUGUUUAACUGAUUCACAUCUAAAUGCAGGUCAUAGCUGUUGGUCCGGGCACUCUCGACGAGGAAGGCAAGAGGCAGUCCCAUUGUCGGUGUUACGAGGUAGCACCGUGCUGUACUCCAAGUACGCAGGCCGUGAGUUCAAGGAAGCUGAUGGCACGAACUACAUUGUGUUGAGAGUGUCGGAUGUGACAGCUGAGCUCUCUUAAAUGUGUGGUUUAUUACUUUGUUUCAGUUUGAGUUCAUGAUAGAGGCUAGCAUGAGUGGUAAGCUUGCUAUGUGAUAACCACUUGAUGCUAUUUCGGAUGGUUGUAGAAUUGUAUAAGCAAACCUGUUGUCCGGGUUAAAAACAUUUACUGAUUUUUUUAGAAAGGAAGCCUGAUGCAUGUUUUCCCCUACUUCUACAUUAUGUAUUUACAUUAAUGCUUGGCUGAUGGCCUGAUUUUUGUAGCGAUAUGAUGAUUUACAAUAA
rnacentral:lncRNA from 1 species